rnacentral:misc_RNA from 1 species
GAUGAAGAACGUAGCAAAAUGCGAUAAGUAAUGUGAAUUGCAGAAUUCAGUGAAUCAUCGAAUCUUUGAACGCACAUUGCGCCCGUUGGUAUUCCGGCGGGCAUGCCUGUUCGAGCGUCAUUUCAACCCUCAAGCCCCCGGGUUUGGUGUUGGGGAUCGGCUCUGCCCUUCUGGGCGGUGCCGCCCCCGAAAUACAUUGGCGGUCUCGCUGCAGCCUCCAUUGCGUAGUAGCUAACACCUCGCAACUGGAACGCGGCGCGGCCAUGCCGUAAAACCCCAACUUCUGAAUGUUGACCUCGGAUCAGGUAGGAAUACCCGCUGAACUUAAGCAUAUCAAUAAGCGGAGGA